CCUACGGGAGGCAGCAGUGGGGAAUUUUGGACAAUGGGCGAAAGCCUGAUCCAGCAAUGCCGCGUGAGUGAAGAAGGCCUUCGGGUUGUAAAGCUCUUUUGUCAGGGAAGAAACGGUGGGAGCUAAUAUCUCCUGCUAAUGACGGUACCUGAAGAAUAAGCACCGGCUAACUACGUGCCAGCAGCCGCGGUAAUACGUAGGGUGCAAGCGUUAAUCGGAAUUACUGGGCGUAAAGCGUGCGCAGGCGGUUUUGUAAGUCUGAUGUGAAAUCCCCGGGCUCAACCUGGGAAUUGCAUUGGAGACUGCAAGGCUAGAAUCUGGCAGAGGGGGGUAGAAUUCCACGUGUAGCAGUGAAAUGCGUAGAUAUGUGGAGGAACACCGAUGGCGAAGGCAGCCCCCUGGGUCAAGAUUGACGCUCAUGCACGAAAGCGUGGGGAGCAAACAGGAUUAGAUACCCUGGUAGUCCACGCCCUAAACGAUGUCUACUAGUUGUCGGGUCUUAAUUGACUUGGUAACGCAGCUAACGCGUGAAGUAGACCGCCUGGGGAGUACGGUCGCAAGAUUAAAACUCAAAUGAAAUUGACGG
rnacentral:rRNA from 1 species